UGGGGAAUAUUGCACAAUGGGCGCAAGCCUGAUGCAGCCAUGCCGCGUGUAUGAAGAAGGCCUUCGGGUUGUAAAGUACUUUCAGACGGGAGGAAGGUGGUAAGGUUAAUAACCUUAUCAAUUGACGUUACCGACAGAAGAAGCACCGGCUAACUCCGUGCCAGCAGCCGCGGUAAUACGGAGGGUGCAAGCGUUAAUCGGAAUUACUGGGCGUAAAGCGCACGCAGGCGGUUGAUUGAGUCAGAUGUGAAAUCCCCGGGCUUAACCCGGGAAGUGCAUCUGAUACUGGGCAGCUAGAGUCUGGUAGAGGGGGGUAGAAUUCCAUGUGUAGCGGUGAAAUGCGUAGAGAUGUGGAGGAAUACCGGUGGCGAAGGCGGCCCCCUGGAUAAAGACUGACGCUCAGGUGCGAAAGCGUGGGGAGCAAACAGG
rnacentral:rRNA from 1 species